rnacentral:rRNA from 1 species
UCGAGAAUAGUCUACAAUGGUCGAAAGACUGAUAGUGCGACGCCGCGUGAACGAAGAAGCCCUUCGGGGUGUAAAGUUCUUUUAUAUGUGAGCAAUGCCUUUUAUGUGAAUAGCAUGAGAGGAGCGAUAUUAGCAUAUGAAUAAGCAACGGCUAACUCCGUGCCAGCAGCCGCGGUAACACGGGGGUUGCAAGCGUUGUCCGGAAUUACUAGGCGUAAAGGGCAGGUAGGCGGAUAGAUAAGUUUUUUGUCAAAGGCGACGGCUCACCCGUCGUAUGGCAGGAGAUACUGUUUAUCUGGAAUGCGGUUGGGGAAGACAGAAUUCCUGGUGUAGCGGUGGAAUGCGCAGAGAUCAGGAGGAAUACCGAAGGCGAAGGCAGUCUUCUAAGCCGUUAUUGACGCUAAACUGCGAAGGUGUGGGUAUCAAACAGG